rnacentral:rRNA from 1 species
GAUGAACGCUGGCGGCGUGCCUAAUACAUGCAAGUCGAGCGAACAGACGAGGAGCUUGCUCCUCUGACGUUAGCGGCGGACGGGUGAGUAACACGUGGAUAACCUACCUAUAAGACUGGGAUAACUUCGGGAAACCGGAGCUAAUACCGGAUAAUAUAUUGAACCGCAUGGUUCAAUAGUGAAAGACGGUUUUGCUGUCACUUAUAGAUGGAUCCGCGCCGCAUUAGCUAGUUGGUAAGGUAACGGCUUACCAAGGCAACCAUGCGUAGCCGACCUGAGAGGGUGAUCGGCCACACUGGAACUGAGACACGGUCCAGACUCCUACGGGAGGCAGCAGUAGGGAAUCUGCCGCAAUGGGCGAAAGCCUGACGGAGCAACGCCGCGUGAGAGAUGAAGGUCUUCGGAUCGUAAAACUCUGUUAUGAGGGAAGAACAAAUGUGUAAGUAACUAUGCACGUCUUGACGGUACCUAAUCAGAAAGCCACGGCUAACUACGUG